GCCCAGCCGCGGCCCCACUGCCCGCGCUCCCCCCUCAGGGGCGGGCCCGCGCCGGCACCGCGCACCUCCCCCCCUUCCGCGCCGGCCCCGGCGCCGGCCCCGGCGCCCGCCAGAGGCCAAGCGGCGGGGCAGGGCCGCGUCCCGGCCCGGGGAGGGCGAGAGGCGCGGACCCCAGGCCGGGACAAGGGUCCCCGCCGGUCCGGGGCCUGCCCGCCCGUCUCCCGCUGCCGCCGAGAGAGGCCGCCCGCGCGCAGCGGCCUGUGCGCUCUGCGCCCUCCCGCGCUAGAAAUAAAGGCGGGAGGGUGCGGCGUGGCGGGGGGGGCGCUUCGCGCUGGCCCUAGGGUCGCCAGCAGCCGGUGGGCGGGCGGGAGCGGGGCCUUCGAUGUAGGGGCGGCCGGGAGCGGAUCCUGUAUCUGCACCAGGAUGGCCGAGUGGUUAAGGCGUUGGACUUAAGAUCCAAUGGACGUAUGUCCGCGUGGGUUCGAACCCCACUCCUGGGCACUCAGGCCUGGCCUUAGCGGGUGCUGUGGGUGUCGCAGCUGGAUCGUGAGCUCAUCGCUGGCAGCACAGCCGGGCCGAGGGCCGGGGGUGAGAGGCGGCCCUGGGGCAGGGGGCACAGGGCCCUCCCGGCCCCACUGUGCGGUGAGGGGGCCCGGACCCUUGGCCAGAGCCAAAGGAAGCACAGCCCAACGGAGGCCGACGCCUGACAGAGUCCCUCACCUGGCAGCGGUGGGUGUGAGAAGGACAAGAUGCAUCACUUCGUUUUUUGUUUCUGUAGUUUAAGCCCUUUCUCCACAGAAGUCCCUGACAAGGGAACCGCGCCUGGUCUAAUGAUACCUAAAAUUCAUGUCACAAAUUCUUCUCUGAAGGCAAGGAGUGGAGGUUAGCCCUCCAGCUUCUUCCACCCCAGUGGGAGACUUUGUUGCUUUAAAGCAUAAUUUAUGGGUGUUUUUUGUGUAUUUUUUUUUAUUCCGGUUCCAAGCAGUUUGAAUACUUUGAAGGCCAUAUGAGAGCCUGUCACAGUGCUUUUAGAACAUGAAAGUGAGAGCAAGUACUGCGCGCACUAGGGUACGGGAUGAGGGUGUAAAGGAUAUCUGAGGGUGUCAAGCCUGCUGAGGUGUCCCUGGCCGACCCCGGAGGGUGGAGGGAAGGCAAACCUCCUGCUUGGGGGGCAAAUGUCCCUAGUGGUGGCUGUACCCUAAAUUGUGCUGGGAGGUCAACUAAGUAGAAUGAGUAGGUUUUUCAGGCUAACCUUCUGGCUUUGUUUUAUUUAGCAAGCCAGAUGUAGCAGUUGUCAUACAUGUUCCAAAGUUUAAUUUGCUAUAGCAUGGUUUUGUUGGGGGUUUUUUUGGUUGGUUGAGGUUUUUUUUAGCAUGGUAAUAUCAUUGUGUUCCAGUGUGUUGAAAGUGUGGGAAGUACAAAUCAAGCGCAGACUGACACAUUUUAAAAUAUUAGUGUUUGCCAGAGCAUCCUGAUCUAAUUCUAAUACAGGUAAAUAUAGUUGUUCUUAGCCAACCUGUUCCUGAUAAUUUGAGGUGAAAAAUGAUUCUAAACCUUCAGCCCAAAUAUAUCAUGUGAUAUAGAGACUAAAUAACUCUCAAGAGAGAAAUAACAACUCGUGGGCCUUCAAUGUAAUAUUAAAUAGAAGAUGAAAUAUCCUGAAAUACAGGAUAUUUUAUUAUGUGUUACUUAAGAUGAUCUAAUAUCACAAAUGUGGGCAUGGUAUAAACUCAGAAAUAUGAUAUUCAGGAGGGAGUUAUGAAGAAAAGUGUGGUCUGGUGCUGAUUUUCUAGGAAAUGCAAGUAUGUGUAUUGUCUUUUUUGACUGUUCCCACAGUUAAAUUGUAAACACAAAACGUACCGCACUUUCUAGAGCUGUUCAUUCAAAAGCAGUACUGCCAAGUUCAAAUGGUUUAUUAAGUAAACGUUUGUUCCUAUUAUUCAUUAAGGUACAAAUUAGUAAAAAUGGAUGCAUGUUUGAAUGUACAUUUUACCUGUAAUGUUGUAAUGGAAAAAUGCUGCCCUUGGAAACCCACACCUUUGCAUACAAAUUGUGUAAUUCUGCUUAUGUGCUUAUUUACGAGCAUGUUUGAACAUACAAUAAAUGCUCAUGUAGAUGUUACGGAUGCAGUACUGCUCUUGACGAAAAGUUGGUCCCAGCUACGUCAGUUACAGGAUGAAUUAGUGGCAGCUGUUCGCCAUUGUGAGAAAGAAACCAGAAAAGUAAAAAUAAUGACAGUUUUUCCAAGAACAGGAAAAAAAGCAGGUUUUGUGAUGAAGCAAUAUAGAAAAUGGAAGUUCUUGGUUAGAAAUGCUUUUGUUACAGGCACAACCCUUUUCUUAGAUUUCUUUUGCAGAGAACUUGCCUUUGUUCUUUGGUGAAACUGUGUUCCCUGCUUUUUGUAAUGGGUUGUUAGAGCACAUGGAGAUCUGGAAUGGAACAGAAGAUUCUUGAACUUUUCCUGCUCUCAAGAAAUAUCCAUAAACUCUACUGGCAACAAGUUCAUUUUCAACAGCUGCUGGGCUGUUCAUCUGCCAUCUGCGUCUGACCUUACCUGCAGUUUCGUACAGUCAUUUCUAUUGGACUCGAUAGCCACAGCAACCAAGUGUCAUUAGCAACGUUAGCUAAUUCUGCCUCCUUCUCCAGGGUAUUACAACACAUGCUCCCAAACAGAUCCUUGCAACACAUUAUUGCUUAACUAUUUUUCUUGGGUUUUAUGAGCAAAAAGAAGAGAUUUUCUGCUAGGCUAGUUCAAUCCAAGCAGCAAAUUCUGGGGAAUCACACUGUGAUAGCAUGGGGAGCUUGGCCGCCCUGACCACGACGUUGCCAGAACAGAACAAGGGUCUGCGUGUCACUUACAGCAGUGGAAAGCCUUGCAACUUACUUAAAAUGCUGAUGGAGGUAAAUUUACUCUUAUGACUGACAAAUGAGCCCUGCAAGUCCUGCCAUGGUCAUUUAAAGCAUCAUCACCCCCAGAAUUACCGUGAGUGUUGCUGUCCUGGAGUUAGGAUGGCCUAACAUAGCCAUCAGAAGAGACCAGGUGCCCACCCUUCAGCUGCUCUGGUUACUGCCUGGCAUUUUAGCUCAAAGCCACCGCCGCUGGCAGAGCAAAGGGCAGUAGCUUCGCACUGGAGUAAAGGGGUGUGGGCGUGCGGUCUCUUUUGCUAGUUCCUCUCAUCAGGAGGAAUAUAUACAGGUGGUAACACUUUACAUCAGCACAGCAUUAUUACCAAAGGAUUUUUCUGAAAGUGUUAAAAGACUGGUCUGUGCACUAGAUCAUCUCCAGUUAGGAACAUUUUCUCUUGUGCUGGCUUUGCUAUGGUGGCAGUAGCCCCUGGAAAAAGGAUAGAGCAGUCAAGUGAUAAUUUACAUUACAGCAGCAAGGUUCAUCAGAGCACCUCCUAAACCAGGGGCCUUGAAUGCCCUGAAAUGAAGGCAGCCUGAUGCGGAAAGUUGAGCCAAGAUCUCUGGGAUCUUACGGCAUGGGCUUAAAGCCCACUAACAUGCGUUUUUCUGGGAUUUUUUUGGUUGUGUUAAACUAAUCUGAAUGAAUUGAUUCAUUGUCUGAAGACCAAAAUGUGCACACUCUUUUAGAGAUGGUCUUCUUAAAUGUGUAAUUACGAAAAUGCCUUCCUUUCUCUAAUGAUUUUAGGAGAAGAAUGCCCUUUCCAGAGUCCUUCAUUUUCCUUGAUUGCUGCUUCUCCUUCACCAUCUGCUCAAAUGUGACCUUCUUUCUGGGUUGAAAGUGCUACAGGAUCUUUCCUUCAGACCUCAUCUGCCUCAUUUUAAAGCAUUUGCUGAAGUGGUUCAUACAACUCUUGGCAAGAGAUCACUCCCUGACCAUGUGACUCGCUGGGUUUCUGACACCUGUCUCUUGCUAUUUCGUCAUGUGUUGCAGACUUUUUCAUAUGAGAGUGGAAUCACUGGUGGGAUGUAUGGACUGCAUUAAUGAGUUCUGUUUUCCAGCUAAUCCAUGUUUAAUGGUUGAUGUGCAUAUGUAUUUUAGUUUCACUUGUCCAGUCUUAUAUCUCUGUUGCUAUUUUCUGUCACACUCCCACCUUUUGCUUUUUAUGUGCAUACCAAGAAACAGAUCCAGCUGGUCUAGCAGUUAGCUGCUGUUGAAAGGGGCAGAGACGCUGUCUUUCCCCUGCCCUGGCUGUACUGCACGUUCUCACAGCUUCCCUCUCGCAUUCCUCAGUCUUUGAUUAUCAAGUAAUGCAACAAACCAACCAAUUAAUUUCAUGUUACUUGGAUAUAAAAUUAAUUGCUGAGAUUAUCUCAUUAUAAGAAUUUUUCUCUGAAGAAAUGAGGAAUUGGAGACAAUUUCUUGUAUGUUUUGGGCUACUUAACAUAGACAAUACAGAUCCAGUAACUGCUUUUAUUCAUCACAGAAUGACAGAGGCUGGAAGGCCCCUCUGGAGUUCGUCUAGUCCACCCCGCAGCUCAGCUUGAGCAGUCAGGUUUUGAGUAUCUCCAAGGAUGAAGACUGCACAACCUCUCUGGGCAACCCAUGCCAGUGUUUGACAACCUUCACAGUAAAAGAAGGUUUUUCUAAUGCCUUAAAAAUAAGUGUUUUCAUGUGUUUAAGGCAUUUUCUUAUGUUUAAGCUUAUCUCAAACUUAUCCAUCUGCCUGUAAAUCUUAAAUGAUUGUAUAUUCUCUGUGCUUAGAUUUUUGUUCCUAAACAUCCCAAGAUAAAAUGAAGGAACUACAAAUGCCACAACACAUAGGAGGACACCCACUGGAUACAUGGGUUUGCUGCCACGCAUAUUUUACUGAGAGCUCUAUUGAGAGAAGAACAAAAACCCUGCAAAGAUUUAAGCAGGUGCUUCAUUUUAGAUACUGAAAGUGAUUCUUUGAACUUUUAAUGUCCAAAUAAAGAGGAAAGGCAUGCAAUAUUUUGUUUAUAAAUAUGUACAGUUAGUUUCCUGUAAGAAAUGAGCACCUGUGUCUGACCUUAGCUUAUUUAAAGCCAGAGUCCUGUCAGAGCAUUACUCAUUGGGUGACCAUUCUGGUAUCACGGUUAAAGUUCGUGAUCUGCAGGUUAGCCUGCUGUAAUUUGAUCUGAGUUUUCCUUUAAAAUGGUCCGGGAGUGAUAGCACUAACAAGUGACAUCUGUCUGUUGGGUUGAGGGAAGGUAAUGCAAGCAGCAGCGCUCACUGUCACCCAGUGCUGUUGUCUGGCAACCCAGUAACUACAGGUAAAAAUUCUUAUUCCUGUGUUUACAUAGGUGUUAGUAGUCUCCUUCCUGAACAGACUUUGCUUACUGGCUGUGGCUAAUUAUUCCUUAUCCUAGAUCCAGAGGCUGCCUCUGAAGGAGGAAUUGGAAAGAGUCAACAUAGUUCAGAAAUCCCAUUUACGUACUGCUUUCCAAAUCCUUUUGUUACUGUAUUCAGAACAGAAAUAAUUGAUUUAUUUAAUAACUAUGACUUCUGUCUUUUAUUGGAAUAUUUUGGAUUAUUUUUUAUUAUUUGGCAGGAUGCUUUGCUUUGCUGUGAAAAUGGCUGAUUUCUUGGCUAAAUGUAGUUUUAAUUUUUAUCUAGCUAGCUUAAUAGCCAUGGAUUCCACAAUCUGUAUUUUGACAGCACUGCGACAGUGCAGGUUAUAUCUAUGCCAAUUAACAAAUCCUGUCGUGUUCUGUGACUGAAAACAGACCAAGACAUGCCCAACCUGUUGUACUGCAUUCAUUUGGGUGACCUGCCCCAAAAGUUAUUUGACACAUCAGUAAAGAAGAAAUACCAAAAGCAACUGCAUCCAGUUUUUGUGAUGUCUCUGCCUGCCCAGCCCCUCUGAACAAAAUAUUUUUCUACAAAAAAGAAUUGUCGGGUAGGGUAAGAAUCGUAUGGUAUGAAUGCAUGAGUCAGAUUUCUUCAAGAGGAAAAAGCAGUUAAUGCCUCCCAAUAGACACUACAGAGAGACAUCAGGGAUGAGGUAACAUUUCUGCUCUGUAUGAAAUUGUUAGGGAGAGAGCUCAGCCACCAAUGCAAGAAAAAGGACCUGUGUGACAGCGAAGGUAGGUGGCUGUAUCCAGCUGAAAUGGUAACAUACCUGAGAGUGUUAUGAAAUAUGAGUUAAGAAUGGGGUGGGAUUGGGCCUCUCGAAACCCCCAUUAAAAUGCUCUAAAACCAAAAGUAGUUGUGGUUUGACAUUCUUUUCCUAUGCCCGUUUCUGUUGCCUUUCUUGGUAAGUUGUCUUAAAGAAGGGUUUAAGUAGAGUUUCACAGUGCUCCUGGUUUAGGUUGGGCUUUGCAGAGAACACGUCCGGAGAUUUUGAGGUGCAUGGUAGUACCCUCAGCCCCCAAAAUGAGCCUCUAUGGGUCCUUUAGAGCCAGACAGUGCCUCAUACUCACCUCGAAGUCCUUAACAGACUUCUCUCCAGAGCCAGACAUACAAUAUAGGGGCCUAUGUUGUAAUGUUACCUACCUCAGAAUGUUGGUUUAUUUUUUUAACAAAAAAUAUUAUACCAGGGUAAUCUUCUUAACUGUCAAACUGGGAUGUGUAUACUUUGCAUUGUACAUUGUUUCCUUUAUGUACUGUUUGUCAUUAACAGUCUUGGCAUGACUGCUUCCCAGGUAGUAAAUGUAUUCUGGCAUAAUUAAAGCAGUUCCACUUCCUUUGCAGGCGAAACCUCAGAGAUGGUAUCUCUGGAGGGAGACAUCGGAACUGACCGCAAAAUUGCCAGCUGCUAUUUAUCAGUUAACCAGUGCUCCAGGUACCAUCUUUCUGAAUCCCCAUCCCUGACCACCUCUGUAUUAACACUUAGAGCGACCUGCUCUGGUCCAUAGGCCAUUGCUUUGGCAACUGUAAAAACUGAGUUAUAAAAAAUGACUGUAUUUUUUCAUCUUAUUUUUUAGCUCAUUAUAUAUGUUCAGCUAAAAAAUAAAAAAAGGAGUUGGAGAA